GGGUAUCGACCUAGCAGGCUGCCUUACAGUAGCAUCAGGAGAUAGGGGUUUUUGGAAUCACCAAUGGGUUAGUGACAGCCAGCGACUGUGUGACCGGAUAUUGGUAUUUAACAUACUCCUAUAACUUCUGUAAUUUAACGAUUUGGCAGUUAGUACUUUGAAGCAUUUGAUGCUUACGUAACAGCUACAAUAUACAAAAAGCUGGAUAGUCACUUGUGUGUAGUGAUUCUAACACUUCUGCCUAUUUUGGCGGUACUGCCCCUAAAUGCACCGUUUUUAGACAAG